rnacentral:rRNA from 1 species
AAAGCAGGAGCAAUCUUGUGAGUAAAGCGGCGUACGGGUGAGUAACACGUGGAUUAUCUACCUCUUUGUGGGGGAUAACCCUGGGAAACCGGGGCUAAUACCGCAUAAGUCCGAGAGGAGGAAGCAGCAAUGCGCAGAGAGAGGAGUCCGCGGCCGAUUAGUUAGUUGGCAGGGUAAAAGCCUACCAAGACAAAGAUCGGUAGCCGGCCUGAGAGGGCACACGGCCACACUGGCACUGAAACACGGGCCAGACUCCUACGGGAGGCAGCAGUGGGGAAUCUUGCACAAUGGGGGCAACCCUGAUGCAGCGACGCCGCGUGAGCGAUGAAGCCCUUCGGGGUGUAAAGCUCUUUCGGCAGGGAAGAUUAUGACGGUACCUGCAGAAGCAGCUGCGGCUAACUACGUGCCAGCAGCCGCGGUAAUACGUAGGCAGCGAGCGUUGUUCGGAGUUACUGGGCGUAAAGGGUGUGUAGGCGGUUUUCUAAGUCUGGUGUGAAAUCUCCCGGCUCAACUGGGAGGGUGCGCCGAAAACUGGAAGGCUAGAGUGCGGGAUGGGUAAGUGGAAUUCCUGGUGUAGCGGUGAAAUGCGUAGAUAUCAGGAGGAACACCUGUGGUGUAGACGGCUUACUGGACCGCAACUGACGCUGAGACACGAAAGCGUGGGUAGCAAACAGGAUUAGAUACCCUGGUAGUCCACGCCCUAAACGAUGCAUAUUUGGUGUGGGCCAUUCAUUUGGUCUGUGCCGGAGCUAACGCGUUAAAUAUGCCGCCUGGGGAGUACGGUCGCAAGGCUGAAACUC